AGCAGAGGACGUGCAGCGCCACGAAAGAAAAGGGCCUCGCCGCCAGCUGCCAUCCGCCGUUGUCCAAGAGAACCAGAAGCAACUGACAGGAGACGCGACCAGAGAGAAGCCACCACAGGAGAGUGCCAACCGCCAUCAGGAAGCCAUCGCUUCUAGCGUUCACGCCGUUCAGCUAGAGAAGUCAUCCACACGCAGCAACACGCAUUCCCGGCCAUCAUCAGAGAAAGGAAGGCAUCAAAAGGAAGCCAGCAGAGGAAGAUGCCAGGAGGCUGCUAAAGAGGCCCAAAUACAAGUCAGCAUAAAGCACAAAAGCAGCAGCCAACGCCUCUGACAUAAUCAACAUCCAUCCAGAUGGCAUUCACGACAUCCAUGGGUGAGAAACAUUGUUAAUCUAUUAUUUUCUAUUGUCUAAUCGCAGGGGUAAAGGACAGAACGUGACGAGCCACCUUAUCGCCCCCGGUCCAUCAGCCACCUCACCUUCAUCAUCGUCGGUGCGUCCACCUCACCACUACCGCGAGUUGCGCUAUCAACGGCUACCAAAGUUCCCUGGCAGCAUCGUCCCACGACACGCGCGCCUAUAUCAGCAUCGGCAGCAUCGUCCAAGCAUCCGUUUGCCACAAUGACCUCCACAUCGAUUUUCGACUAGAGUGUUUGCUGACGAUGCAUUCCAGCAACUGACCUCUCCAUCGACAUCGAUUCUACCAGAUUGGCUCGCCAACGACACAUUCUGGUGAUCUGAUCCACAUGGGCUCCCUACCGUGACUUCGCCCCUGCAUGGAGGACUCACACAACCACCUCAACACCCCGCAAAAGCUUUCUAAAAAGUCUUGGAUCACUCUUUUUGGUGAUCUGAAGAUUAAGUUAUGGAUGUUUAAAUUCUGAAGACUGAAUCUGUCUAAUUCUGGACAGUAAAGUCUCCUAGUGUCUUUUAACCUUGAUACACUUUAAAUCAAC
rnacentral:lncRNA from 1 species